GAGACUAAAGGAACUCAAGGCGUAGGGGU
rnacentral:piRNA from 1 species